rnacentral:rRNA from 1 species
AGGACGAACGCUGGCGGCGUGCCUAACACAUGCAAGUCGAACGGGGUGAUUCCUUCGGGGAUCACUUAGUGGCGAACGGGUGAGUAACGCGUGAGAAACCUGCCUCUCAGUGGGGGACAACAGUUGGAAACGACUGCUAAUACCGCAUAAUGUAUCCGGAGGGCAUCCUUUGGAUACCAAAGCUUUAUGUGCUGAGAGAUGGUCUCGCGUCUGAUUAGCUAGUUGGCGGGGUAACGGCCCACCAAGGCGACGAUCAGUAGCCGGUCUGAGAGGAUGAACGGCCACAUUGGGACUGAGAUACGGCCCAGACUCCUACGGGAGGCAGCAGUGGGGGAUAUUGCACAAUGGAGGAAACUCUGAUGCAGCAACGCCGCGUGAGGGAAGACGGUCUUCGGAUUGUAAACCUAAGUUAACAGGGACGAUAAUGACGGUACCUGAAGAGAAAGCUCCGGCUAACUACGUG